UGCGACCCCAGGUCAGGCGGGACUACCCGCUGAGUU
rnacentral:rRNA from 1 species